AUGCGGCGGCCCCGCACCGCGCCCGACCCCGCAGCCCCGCGGGCCGCUCCCCCACCCCAAAGCUGCUAUUUACGGGGCUUUCGCGUUUUCUUGCAAAUCGAGACCAAAAAAAAAAAAAAGAAAAAAAAAAAAAAGAGAGAGAGAGAAAGAGAGAGAGGGAAAAAAAAGAAAAAGAGAUGUAGAGAGCAAAACAAUUCUGGGCUGCAAAGCGCCCGGCGGGGCGGGCAGCGGCGGAGCGGCUCCGGGAGCUGCUGGCCGCCCGCUCCGCACGGGAACGGCAGGGACAGGGACAGGGCGGGGGGCACGGCCGGCCGCAGCCCUGAGUGCCGCCGCGGGAGCCACGUGAAGACAGCCAUGAAGCACACACAUCCUACAGAAUGACUGUGAUAUGGACUACAGUUCUUCACACUGACAGUAUGAGAAGAAAGAAGAAACAGUGAUGAAUUCACCCUGCAUAUUAAGGAUCUCUACCACCUCCCCCCCAUUAACCCCUGCCUUACAUCCUCAUCCUGCACCUCUGGAAGCUCAUUUGUUAGUGCAGUAUCAUGGGUUCUCUUUAGUGACUCAACUCAGGGUGCUGGUUGGAGGCAGCUGGGUGCUCCCUCCAUAUAACAUGUGUCCCAGCCCAGGCUGAGGGAGCAAAACCUGCUCCCUCUGGACUCUGUAUCCAUGCAAGCAGAAUGACAAAACAUUUGUUGUAAAAGUUUGCGAAGAAUUGCUGCAGUUUUUUGGAGUCUGAUAAGACUGUGAAUGGGAACAAAAAGCCUCACUGACACAGCACAAGAAUUAAUCAUCUUGAAUCAUAAUAAUUUGUCAUAGGAAAAAAAAAAAAAAACACUGAGAUCAAAGGCAAUUUUACAGGAGUGAUUAUUCUGACAGAUGUGGCAUGUGGAGCUGUGGGUAUUACAGCACGCAGCAUGGAAGUGCCAGCCUAUGGGAAAUGUGCAUGCUGCUAUCAGAAGGGCAUGCACUAGAAAGUAAAACAUUCAGAUGAAUUUUUCAGCCAAGUGGUAGACAUUAUUGCAGCCGAUGGCAAGUGUUUACCUGACAGAAAAGCAGUAUGUGCUACUUCAUGUUGGACAGUGAUGCCCAAACCAAUGCAGUACGAGAAUCUUAAGUCAUUCACAAUGACAGAAAAGCCAAAGGAAAAAGACAGAAGCCCAUUACUCGGUAUAACUAUGUUCUACAGCUUCCUCAGGAGAAUGUCUUCAUCAGGGAAGCAAAGGAGAAAAAAAGCUUAAGAAAAAUCUCAGAAUUUUCCAUAGCAUAGUGACAAAUUGCACCUUUUCCAGUUUGUUAGCUAUUAUAUAUAUCUCCGGUAGGGAAAGGAUCAGUGGUACAUAUUUAUCUUUCUCCACUUACCCUAGGAUGAAAGUCUGUAGAAAAGUACAUGUGCCUUCUAGCACAGAGUGGCUGGUGCUGUAUAUUCCCUGCAUCUGUUGCCAGUAUAGAGGAAAAAAUUAUAUGGGAUUUUGUUUAAAAGGAAUGAAAAGAUUAUUUACCCUAUGCUGAAUAAAAAUACUGAGAAGAACA
rnacentral:lncRNA from 1 species